AUAAAAUUGAAUGAACAUCCCUGCCUAACAAAGAUAAAUGUUUUCCAGACAACCUAUGUCACCUCUGAAAAUGUUUCAGGUUAUUGUGUCCCUUCUGCUGCUUUCAGGUGUCCUGGGAGCACCAUUUCUCUCUGAAGAAACAGCAAAUCAGUUCAUAAGGCUUAAGAGACAAAUACCAUAUUCUCACAGCUAUUGGGACGCAAGCAGUAGCGAGAAUGCUUGGGGUUACACUGUGGCAGAACAGGCAAGUGAAUCAUGGACAGCAUUGAGAAACACAGCCCAAUACUACAUGGACUUGGGAUCUUUUGUCUUUGAUUCUGCAACUGCCCAGUAGCCCACACUGGAAGACUUGCCUCUAAUUGCCACUGGAAGCUUUCAGAAUGCCACCUGUCUACAGAAACCAGGACAUCUAUACAUAAAAGGAACUACCAAGGAAGACAACAAAAAUGGCAAUUAAAAACCUACUGAAGCCUUAGGAACAUUAUAGUUCUUUUCAGUAUUUUUUUUUUCCUCAAUGUAUUUGCCAUUCCUUUCUGUCUUCCAGAGUGGCAUUA